UACGAAGGGUGCAAGCGUUACUCGGAAUUACUGGGCGUAAAGCGCACGUAGGCGGCUUUGUAAGUUAGAGGUGAAAGCCCAGGGCUUAACCCUGGAAUUGCCUUUAAGACUGCAUCGCUAGAAUUGUGGAGAGGUAAGUGGAAUUCCGAGUGUAGAGGUGAAUUCGUAGAUAUUCGGAAGAACACCAGUGGCGAAGGCGACUUACUGGACACAUAUUGACGCUGAGGUGCGAAAGCGUGGGGAGCAAACAGG
rnacentral:rRNA from 1 species